UCCCUGGUGGCUCAAACAGUAAAGAAUCUGCCUGCAGUGCAGGAGACCCAGGUUCAAUCCCUGGUUCAGGAA
rnacentral:tRNA from 1 species